AAUAAAUCCUUAUCAGCGCUAAGCAAAAGCAAUUGUUUUAUGAGAAAGUAAACUCAAAUGAUAAGACGUUGUGGUGAAUACUGAUAAUAUUCAU
rfam:Firmicutes bacterium CAG:884 genomic scaffold, scf59